GAUGAACGCUGGCGGCGUGCCUAAUACAUGCAAGUCGAGCGAACGGACGAGAAGCUUGCUUCUCUGAUGUUAGCGGCGGACGGGUGAGUAACACGUGGAUAACCUACCUAUAAGACUGGGAUAACUUCGGGAAACCGGAGCUAAUACCGGAUAAUAUUUUGAACCGCAUGGUUCAAAAGUGAAAGACGGUCUUGCUGGCACUUAUAGAUGGAUCCGCGCUGCAUUAGCUAGUUGGUAAGGUAACGGCUUACCAAGGCAACGAUGCAUAGCCGACCUGAGAGGGUGAUCGCCCACACUGGAGCUGAGACACGCUCCAGACUCCUACGGGAGGCAGCAGUAGGGAAUCUUCCGCAAAGGGCGAAAGCCUGACGGAGCGACGCCGCGUGAGUGAUGAAGGUCUUCGGAUCGUAAAACUCUGUUAUUAGGGAAGAACAUAUGUGUAAGUAACUGUGCACAUCUUGACGGUACCUAAUCAGAAAGCCCCGGCUAACUACGUG
rnacentral:rRNA from 1 species